GAUGAAGAGAGAGAAGCAGCCAUGAGAGUCUCCAAUGAACCUGAUGCAUGCAUAUGGUUUCUCAACAACUCCACCGCACCGAAAAGGGAUGCAUUGCUCCUUAAGGUCUCAUGGUGCAUUUCAAGAUAGAGUAUAAGAGUCUUUUCGUAUUUUGAUAUAUCACUCGAUGAUAAAUAUUUGGACAAAUAUAUGGUUUUGUGUACCCAUUUCGUGAGAUGUUGGAUUUGGAGCCCACUUCUUGCGGGUACAGGGACCUCAAUGAAAGUUGCAACAUUCUUAAUAGCUAACACAGAGAAGGAUGUCCAUGGUAUUGCUGAACUUGGUCAUGGUUAAGAGAGAAAAAACGGGACUUCCAUGUCAUAUGGAAUUCCUAAUUGAGGAUAAAGUUGACUAAAAGGAGUAUUAUCCAAAGUGAAAAAAUAACUCAUCGUUUGGAUGUAAUUUCUUCAUAAGAUAGUCUUAUAUGAAGGGCGAAGAGCAAAAAAAAAAAAGGAAAAGAGUAGAGAUUUCCUAAUUGGAUUUACAUGCCUGUCAAACAGGGUUUCUCUCUACACCUAAAGCCUCCCCACAUACUAUUAUUUUUCUCUAUAUAGAAACCCUAGACUAAAAAAACUCAUAUUGAUGAUUCAAGAGUUCUAAAUCUCUCCAUCAAAUAUUCAGAUUUGCAUGGUACAUACGAUACUUUUAGUUCUUAUAACUAAUAGUCGCCAUGAGGUUGUAGACAUCGAACUCUCGAUCCAGAGGAGUCUUGUGCAAAACGAAUAGAAAGAUAGCACCAACUGCAAAAAGGAAAAUUGAAUUAGAAAAAUGUAUAUAAUCUAUAUCCGAUCCAAAUAUUUUUGUUUCUUCACAGCAUUGGGAUUCACCGAUGAAUCGAAAACAUAUUUAGCAAGGAGAGAGGUAAAAGACGCAUAUGAGCCAUUAAAGAAUGUGUUAGAAGGGAAAGUCUUCUGGGGUAUUUGAUUUUUGGAAGUGACGGUUUUUGAUACCUCCACCUCUUAGUACUGUAGCAUUUAUCUGGUUAAUAAUGGGGAGUGCUACACAUUUUUUUGGGAGUCAUUGUAACCACAGCACCAAAAACAACAUUAAAGUCAGGAAGACGCGGCUUCUAUAAGGGACCAUGUAACAAAUUCCGCAUCCUUGGAAGAUACAGUUUCCACAGCCAUGUGCUCCAAGAGUCAAACACGCCCUUCGUGUUUCUAAUUUGAAUGUGCAGGAGAACGACAUAUUAUGUUACCAUUGUUCAUUUCACAGUGUAUAGCAGCCAGGUCAAUUCUGUAGUGUUCUUUGAUGCACAUCAAUUUUGUAAUAUCUCUCGAUGAACAACUUUAAUUACCAAUGAACUUAUGUUGAUAUAAAAAAUGCAAUCUCUGUA